UAGGGAAUCUUCCACAAUGGGCGCAAGCCUGAUGGAGCAACACCGCGUGAGUGAAGAAGGGUUUCGGCUCGUAAAACUCUGUUGUUAAAGAAGAACACGUAUGAGAGUAACUGUUCAUACGUUGACGGUAUUUAACCAGAAAGUCACGGCUAACUACGUGCCAG
rnacentral:rRNA from 1 species